rnacentral:rRNA from 1 species
UACAGAGGGGGCAAGCGUUGUUCGGAAUUACUGGGCGUAAAGGGCGCGUAGGCGGCCCGCUAAGUCGAACGUGAAAUCCCCAGGCUCAACCUGGGAACUGCGUCCGAUACUGGAAGGCUUGAAUCCGGGAGAGGGAUGCGGAAUUCCAGGUGUAGCGGUGAAAUGCGUAGAUAUCUGGAGGAACACCGGUGGCGAAGGCGGCAUCCUGGACCGGUAUUGACGCUGAGGCGCGAAAGCCAGGGGAGCAAACGGG